rnacentral:lncRNA from 7 species
AACUAGCCCUUAAAAAUAUUUAGGGCACGUACAACGGCCAUAAAUAAACUGUCUGUAUAACGCCACAUUAGCAUGAUUAUCCUUGUUGGACUCGGUUAAAUGAAGAUAGAUCGCCUCGCGUGAGGACGGCUCCUGCUCCUGCUCCAAGGGCUAGGGAUGGAUUCGGAUGUCUGGAGAUCCGAAAUAUCCGUAUUCGUAUUCGGAUAAAGUGCUAAUAUGGAUAUCCGUAUUCGUAUUCGAUUUUAAUAUGGAUGUUAAAUAGACAUAUUCGAAUUCGUUUCUUCUCUAUCCGGUUUAAGAUUCGUAUUCGACAACAUUCGACAAAACCGUGAAAUAUCCGAUACUAUUCGUAUUCGAAAGAAAAAAGUAUUCAAUAAAAUCAAUUUAAACUUACUUUUAUUACUAAUUACAAGUGAUUUUAAACAUUAAAUAAUAUACUAAAACCUGAAAUACACCAUUUAAAAUGUUAAAAAUAUUUAUAUCAUAAACAAAUGAUUGUGUUAAUCUUACAGUACUAGUGAUAUACAAUGAUAAAUUUUAAUAAUAUUAAAAAGUCUAAUUUUGAAUACAUUAGAUUAUUGGAGUUUGAGUCCA